rnacentral:rRNA from 1 species
AUGGAUAGGCAAGGUAUUUCACCCUCGGUCUACAACAACAACAACGAGUUCGAUGCCACGCACAACUCCAACGACGCCAAGAUGAAUGCUCAAAUGGAGGAGAUCAAAGCCCUCAUCAAGUCCUACAAGCGAUCUUCCUCAUCUUCGAGAAGACGCUCAAGAGCACAUGCCUCAGAGCUACCAUCUCCGGCAAGGUCACAUCGGCAUCGACACCAUCACCACCAUGAACGUGAAGGUCAAGAGCUCAACACCAACAACCGCUCAGUGACUUCACCAUCUCCCUGGCAUCUUCGCCAAGUGACUUCAAGGCAUCUUCGCCUUCGGAUAUGCGGCAUCUUCGCCAACAAGCACCUCAAGACUACGCUCAAGAGAAGCUCCCCAAGCUCAAGUCCGCGACCUCCACAGGCUACUACGACCUCGACACCGACCAUGAGAUUCCUUUCUAUGGGACUCAAGAACCCAAGGAGUAUCUCGAGUGGGAGCACCUAA